GUGGGGAAUUUUGGACAAUGGGCGAAAGCCUGAUCCAGCCAUGCCGCGUGUGUGAAGAAGGCCUUUUGGUUGUAAAGCACUUUAAGCGAGGAGGAGGCUACCGAGAUUAAUACUCUUGGAUAGUGGACGUUACUCGCAGAAUAAGCACCGGCUAACUUUGUGUCAGCAGCCGCGGUAAUACAGAGGGUGCGAGCGUUAAUCGGAUUUACUGGGCGUAAAGCGUGCGUAGGCGGCUUUUUAAGUCGGAUGUGAAAUCCCUGAGCUUAACUUAGGAAUUGCAUUCGAUACUGGGAAGCUAGAGUAUGGGAGAGGAUGGUAGAAUUCCAGGUGUAGCGGUGAAAUGCGUAGAGAUCUGGAGGAAUACCGAUGGCGAAGGCAGCCAUCUGGCCUAAUACUGACGCUGAGGUACGAAAGCAUGGGGAGCAAACAGGAUUAGAUACCCCAGUAGUCC
rnacentral:rRNA from 1 species